rnacentral:rRNA from 3 species
GGUGGAAGUGCAGCAAUGCAUGGAGCUGACCAGUACUAAUCGGUCGAGGGCUUAUCCAAUA